CAAACUGUAGCUUAAACAAAGCAUCUCGCUUACACCGAGAUAAUGCCUGUUAAACCCGGGCCAUUUUGA
rnacentral:tRNA from 1 species